rnacentral:rRNA from 1 species
GUCGAGCGGUAGCACAGGGGAGCUUGCUCCCCGGGUGACGAGCGGCGGACGGGUGAGUAAUGUCUGGGAAACUGCCUGAUGGAGGGGGAUAACUACUGGAAACGGUAGCUAAUACCGCAUAACGUCGCAAGACCAAAGAGGGGGACCUUCGGGCCUCUUGCCAUCAGAUGUGCCCAGAUGGGAUUAGCUAGUAGGUGGGGUAAUGGCUCACCUAGGCGACGAUCCCUAGCUGGUCUGAGAGGAUGACCAGCCACACUGGAACUGAGACACGGUCCAGACUCCUACGGGAGGCAGCAGUGGGGAAUAUUGCACAAUGGGCGCAAGCCUGAUGCAGCCAUGCCGCGUGUGUGAAGAAGGCCUUCGGGUUGUAAAGCACUUUCAGCGAGGAGGAAGGUGGUGAACUUAAUACGUUCAUCAAUUGACGUUACUCGCAGAAGAAGCACCGGCUAACUCCGUGCCAGCAGCCGCGGUAAUACGGAGGGUGCAAGCGUUAAUCGGAAUUACUGGGCGUAAAGCGCACGCAGGCGGUUUGUUAAGUCAGAUGUGAAAUCCCCGGGCUCGACCUGGGAACUGCAUUUGAAACUGGCAAGCUAGAGUCUCGUAGAGGGGGGUAGAAUUCCAGGUGUAGCGGUGAAAUGCGUAGAGAUCUGGAGGAAUACCGGUGGCGAAGGCGGCCCCCUGGACGAAGACUGACGCUCAGGUGCGAAAGCGUGGGGAGCAAACAGGAUUA